UACGUAGGGGGCUAGCGUUGUCCGGAAUCAUUGGGCGUAAAGAGCGUGUAGGCGGCGUGGUAAGUCGGAUGUGAAAUCUCGGAGCUUAACUCCGAAACUGCAUUCGAUACUGCCGUGCUUGAGGACUGGAGAGGAGACUGGAAUUUACGGUGUAGCGGUGAAAUGCGUAGAUAUCGUAAGGAAGACCAGUGGCGAAGGCGGGUCUCUGGACAGUUCCUGACGCUGAGGCACGAAGGCCAGGGGAGCAAACGGG
rnacentral:rRNA from 1 species